GACUCUGAGUUUCAAACAAAUCCAACCUCAGCCUUGCGAUCGCGAUUGAAGGCUUCCAAUCGCAUUGGACAACCCUGGCCUAGGGUUUCGAUGAAGCACAGGGCGGUGGCGUUAAUGGGGUUGCAGCUGUGGCCGGUCUUAGAGAAGAUGACCGCUGCCACUACUCCAAAACAUCUCGACGAAGCUCGACCACAAUAGGAAGGAGAAAAUUAAAUGAAAUCAAUUAGCGAACAGAGAUGAGUUCGGUAAGCAUCUCUGUUUCCACGAUUGCCCGGGUUCACCGUCAUUCCUUUGUUAGUCACCAGUGAUCUGACUCUCGUGGGCCGUGUUCGAUAGUCAUUUGUUUACAAAGCAAGAAAGGAAUCCCAUAGCGAUAUAAAAAUGACAAGUCAUAGGCUAAGUGUGGGAGGGAACGGUGACUCAUGCAAUUGGACGCACCGUCAUUCCCCACUUCUCUCGCUCUGAGCAAUUCUCCUUCAAGCCCUCCUAGUUUUCUGCAAUCCUACCAAUCGUUCCCAUCUUGCUUCAAUGUCAAAUAUGAUCUAAGCUUAGACUUUCAGUUUGUACAAUUCCUUCAAUGUUGAGCUCGGGAUCUUAAGGGAAUUCGGGAUUUAGGCUCUGAUUCGAGUCCUCUCUGCUGUCAAGGGCCUUGAAUCAUGUAAGCUCCACUGGCCCGUACAUGAUCUAUAUGGGUUUAUGAUCUCAACACUCUUUGAGGAAUCCCUGAUCCAAUUCCAUCGUAAUUCAGUUGGGACCCCAACAGCUCAGAUAAAGGUCAGGGUCAAUCAGGGCGGUGAAGUGAACACUGAACUCUCAUUCUUAAGAGAGGAGAAGACCUAUGAACACGACCUUGCAAUAAUUCUGCGGCAGCAGCACUGAUAACUCAUGGAAUUAGCUUGGUGCUUUAUUCUAAUGGAGAAGAGGGGUUGGAGGAAGAGGAGAGGAGGAGAUGAGAGGGAUUAUGGUGGUUGAUGGUGAAGGAAGAAGAGAGAAGAAAAAGGGUUGGAGUGGUCAGAGAUGCGUCACCGACAGUUGCAACUCAACGCCGGAGAGUGCUCGAACUAAGAAGAUGAGCGUGCUUCGAUUUGGUUCUAUUAUCUUGAAGAAGGAUGGUCCUGAAAUCUCACAUAAUAGGGUAGUUUAGGGAUUAUAAAAAGUAAGGUAAGACUGACGUCACCACUUAAUGGCACUUUCUCACGAACAGGGACAAUUGAUAGGAUUUUUCAGAUUGAGGGGAGGGGAGGGAUUUUUUCCAAAGAGUCUGGGGAAGCAUGAUAUCUCGUACAAGGGAGGGGGUGAUAAUUUCUUAUUAAUAAAUAUUGGUUUUUAGUUUGGCUUUGGCGCAUAUCUUAAAAAUUAGGUUUUUAUAUCUGACCCAAUAUAUACAGAAAUUUGAUUGUUCGUUUCCCCUAUUGGGAGCUAAACCUCACUGAAUAUUUGACACCCCAACUCUUGUUAAACAUUAAUUAACAAAAAAAUAUAAUAAAUACAUAUUAAUAUCUUACUUUA